rnacentral:rRNA from 1 species
GACGAACGCUGGCGGCGUGCUUAACACAUGCAAGUCGAACGGUAAGGCCCUUCGGGGUACACGAGUGGCGAACGGGUGAGUAACACGGGGGUGAUCUGCCCUGCACUUCGGGAUAAGCCUGGGAAACUGGGUCUAAUACCGGAUAGGACUCCUGGCUUCAUGGUUGGGGGGGGAAAGCUUUUGCGGUGUGGGAUGGGACCGCGGCCUAUCAGCUUGUUGGUGGGGUAAUGGCCUACCAAGGCGACGACGGGUAGCCGGCCUGAGAGGGUGACCGGUCACACUGGGACUGAGAUACGGCCCAGACUCCUACGGGAGGCAGCAGUGGGGAAUAUUGCACAAUGGGCGCAAGCCUGAUGCAGCGACGCCGCGUGAGGGAUGACGGCCUUCGGGUUGUAAACCUCUUUCAGCUAUGACGAAGCGCAAGUGACGGUAGUAGCAGAAGAAGGACCGGCCAACUACGUGCCAGCUGCCGCCGUAAGAC